CCCAGCCCCAGCUCGGAGGGAGCAGCCGCCUGCCCCCAUGACGGCUCCAGAGCGCAGCCAGGACCCCGAGAGCCUCCUCCAGGCCGGCUCCAAACGCGCCUGCCCCUGUCGGAGCCUGGACUGGUGCCUGCUGCUGGGGCUGUGCGCCCUGGGCGCAGCGUUCCUGGCGCUCGCCUUGUUCUCGGCCUGGAGGGUCCUGCCCCGGCCGCUGGAGACCCCGGAGGCUCCCCUAGCCUCGUCCAGAAUGAGAAAGGAGGCUGGUGCCCAGAUGAUGCCCACAAGCGCUGUAAUCAAGGACAGUGUAAUGGAGUUCGAUCAUCUCCAGGGUAUUGAUGGAGUGGUUUUGAGCUCCCACUUCGACUACGACCACAUUUUGCACACGCUGGAGGUGAAGGUCGGCGGCCUCUAUUUUAUCUAUGCCCAGCUUGCUGUCAAAUGCGUUGGUGAUAAGUUAUCUUGCAGCAAGCCGCAAACAGUCAAACUGAUCAUCUACUGGCAGUCCAGGGGCACCCGCAGCCCUGUUUUGACCAUCUCUCUGCAUUUGUCCUCCAAUUUUGAAGAAACCAUGUCCAAGUUCUCGGCGGUUCUGCGACCUCUGAAAAAAGGCGACUUGCUCUAUGUGAAGAUGGACACUAAUAAAACAGACAUUGAGAACUGGCAGCUGGACCAAACCGACAAAAAAGACAACUUCUUUGGCCUCUUUAAGCUACCUAGUUCUGCUGAGUCAGCAGACCAGUAGGUGGGAGCAAGGACCUCUGCGGUGGGAGUGGCAGUCAGUAUAUCGUCUUCGGUUCUCUCGGACUCUCUGCUAGAGGUUGUGGAGGGUAGAUUCCACCUAGCAAAAUUCCCAGGGUAACAACCAGCAGCAGACACUGGGAAAACACGGUGUGUUGCUAGUUUUGGCACGAUACUGUCGCUUUGAGUGGCGACAGCUGGUUUCCAUUUGAAGCAGGACUGAAAGGGAAGGAACACACUGUGAGGCACGCUUGCCACACCGAAGAACUGGCGUGGGUCUGUUUUUAGCGAUCAGUGAUAUUUAUUAUGAUGUGUUUCUUUAACAUUCUGUAAUUUAUUGUAAGCAACUGGGAGAUUGAAUGAAAGGUGCUGGUUUUUUUUUUUUUAUUUGUGCGUGGGGGUUGCUUUAAUGUUGACAUGGACAGAUAUAUUUCCAUUGGGGCACACAGCAACCUUAAUAUUGAUAUAAUAAUUCCCGUGACUGUCAGCAUUGUGAUUAUCCGAUCAUUGCUGCACGUGGUAUUAGGCCAUCCCUUUGGUCUUAUGGUGGCUAGUGUAUGGUGCUGAUCAGUGUGGUUUAGCCAUUGCCCACUGUUGGCUGGCAUUGCAACUGCUCAGUCAUGUGUCAUAGGCCCUAUAUUGCUGAAAGCUACUGGAGAUUCUCUUUUAGUAGAAGUAGAUUGAGGCCUGUUCUUCUGGAGUAGAAAGGUCUGAGAUCUAUCUGAGCUUGUCACCAUGAAGCCCUGAGAGGCAACAGAUUUGUUACAAGAGGGUGUUUGCCUACUCAUUAUAUUUUGCAUUCUGGGAUUAUGUAUCUUAAAGCAGAGAGUGUCAGCAUCUGUGUGGCCCCUCCCCCAAAAAAUUUACUACUAAAAAUACACUUAUGAAAAUUCAUCUGUUUGAAACUUAAUUGGAAAGAGUCCGUUUAGAAUUUAAGCAGCCUUCUGCCAUGCUCCUAAAAUUGGGUCUUACUCACUAGCACAAUGUCUCGUCAAUUUCCAUUUCCUGGUUGUGGUGUUAGCUCAGGGUGGAAAUUGACUAGCGGGUUUCCACUGUACAAUCUGAGUGACGUGUAAACAGCGUAAAUGAGAUUAUUAAAAAACGUAUUUAAUCCCUAAUAGUCACUUGGCCGGGGGUCGCAAGAGCUUUCACGGGAGGCUUCCUGAGUUAUUUAAGAAGAUUGUGAUUAUUUUUAAAGCAAUUUAGAGAUGCUUAAAUUAGCAGAUACAACAGUUGCCAAGUUUCAUGACUUUAUCACGAGUCUUAGGAUAUUUAGUCCUUUUCUUAAAGCCCCAGGCUCUGGUGUCAUGUGAAUGCAUCAACGUCUCAGGAAUCGUUUUAACAGAAAUCAAUCCUAGCUCUAGUUUGUGGAGAAAUGCUGGAAAAAAGUGGCCCUCUAAAGUGCAAAAUCCAGAAAGCAAAUAAAACUAAUUCCAAUUUUAUUUAUAUCCUUUUA
rnacentral:lncRNA from 1 species